rnacentral:RNase_P_RNA from 1 species
GGCCGAGACGAUCGCGGGCACAUUGAGGGCUAACGCCGGUGCGUGAGGAAAGUCCGGGCUCCACAGGACAGGGUGCCGGGUAACUCCCGGUGAAGGUGACUUUAAGGAAAGUGCAACAGAAAAGGAAACCGCCCUCAUCUUCGGAUGAAGGUAAGGAUGAAAAGGCGAGGUAAGAGCUCACCGGCGGUAUGGAGACAUACCGGCCUUGUAAACCCCACCCGGAGCAACAUCGUGGAAAGGCAUAACCGUUGUCCGCGGGCCUUGAGGAGAUGGCUUGAACCCGGUGGAAACAUCGGGUCUAGACAGAUGAUCGUCAUUACAGAACCCGGCUUACCGGCCGUGUC